rnacentral:lncRNA from 1 species
AUGCCGUCGGACGGUUCCCACAACUCCCCGGCUAUGUUGCCGUCACAUAUGUUUGAUAUGGACGUAUCUAACUCGCUAAGCUUAAAGCCCAUGGAUGACAACAGUGCUCUCACUGAACUGCAGCGUCAGUUUGAGGUCCUACGGAAGCAGCAGGAGAAGAGACAACUGGACCUGAAGAAGAACGUGGACCCGCUUGGAAAGACAGAAGAUUUGCAACUGUCCGAACAACGCAUUCCAAUAGACACUGCAGAAGAAAGGCUAAAAGUUGAAAACGAGAUUAUACUGGACCAACUGCGCGCUCUCAAGGAUGAAAACGGAAAACUGUUGAAACUUGUCAGAGAAAAGGAUUUUGAAAUCAAACACGUCCAGAAAAAGCGAG